rnacentral:rRNA from 1 species
UACGAAGGGGGCUAGCGUUGCUCGGAAUCACUGGGCGUAAAGGGUGCGUAGGCGGGUCUUUAAGUCAGGGGUGAAAUCCUGGAGCUCAACUCCAGAACUGCCUUUGAUACUGAAGAUCUUGAGUUCGGGAGAGGUGAGUGGAACUGCGAGUGUAGAGGUGAAAUUCGUAGAUAUCAGGAAGAACACCCGUGGCGAAGGCGGCUCUCUGGGACGGUACUGACGCUGAGACGCGAAAGCGUGGGGAGCAAACAGG